GACGAACGCUGGCGGCGUGCUUAACACAUGCAAGUCGAACGAGAAGAGAUGAGAAGCUUGCUUCUUAUCAAUUCGAGUGGCAAACGGGUGAGUAACGCGUAAGCAACCUGCCCUUCAGAUGGGGACAACAGCUGGAAACGGCUGCUAAUACCGAAUACGUUCUUUUUGUCGCAUGGCAGAGGGAAGAAAGGGAGGCUCUUCGGAGCUUUCGCUGAAGGAGGGGCUUGCGUCUGAUUAGCUAGUUGGAGGGGUAACGGCCCACCAAGGCGACGAUCAGUAGCCGGUCUGAGAGGAUGAACGGCCACAUUGGGACUGAGACACGGCCCAGACUCCUACGGGAGGCAGCAGUGGGGAAUAUUGCACAAUGGGGGAAACCCUGAUGCAGCGACGCCGCGUGAGCGAAGAAGAUUUCGGUAUGUAAAGCUCUAUCAGCAGGG
rnacentral:rRNA from 1 species